rnacentral:rRNA from 1 species
CCUACGGGGGGCUGCAGUGAGGAAUAUUGCACAAUGGACGCAAGUCUGAUGCAGCAACGCCGCGUGGAGGAUGAAGGUCUUUGGAUUGUAAACUCCUUUUCUCAGGGAAGAGAAUGGACGGUACCUGAGGAAUAAGUCACGGCUAACUACGUGCCAGCAGCCGCGGUAAUACGUAGGUGGCAAGCGUUAUCCGGAAUUACUGGGCGUAAAGCGCACGCAGGCGGUCUUUUAAGGUUGACGUGAAAGCUCCCGGCUUAACUGGGAGAGGUCGUUGAAGACUGGAAGACUUGAGGCAAUGAGAGGGGUGUAGAAUUCCCGGUGUAGUGGUGGAAUGCGUAGAUAUCGGGGGGAAUACCAGUGGCGAAAGCGGCACCCUAGCGUUGUUCUGACGCUCAUGUGCGAAAGCGUGGGGAGCGAACGGGAUUAGAUACCCGAGUAGUC